rnacentral:rRNA from 1 species
AUUGAACGCUGGCGGUAGGCUUAACACAUGCAAGUCGAGCGGUAACAGACAUUUUGAUUUUGCUUGCAAAAUCUCGUGCUGACGAGCGGCGAACGGGUGAGUAACGCGUAGGAAUCUACCUAGUAGAAGGGGAUAGCCCGAGGAAACUCGGAUUAAUACCGUAUACGUCCUUAGGGAGAAAGAGGGCUUAGCUUUGAUGCUCUCGCUAUUAGAUGAGCCUGCGUAAGAUUAGCUUGUUGGUGAGGUAAAGGCUCACCAAGGCGACGAUCUUUAGCUGGUCUGAGAGGACGAUCAGCCACAUUGGGACUGAGACACGGCCCAGACUCCUACGGGAGGCAGCAGUGGGGAAUAUUGGACAAUGGGCGCAAGCCUGAUCCAGCCAUACCGCGUGUGUGAAGAAGGCCUUCGGGUUGUAAAGCACUUUAAGUAAGGAAGAAAAGAGUAUUGUUAAUACCAAUACUCCGUGACAUUACUUACAGAAUAAGGACCGGCUAAUUCCGUGCCAGCCGCCGCCGUAACAC